UAUUUUGAAAGAUGCUGGAACAGUGUUGUGGGGUUUCCAGUCACCCUGAAGACUCUAAGGAUAUCUUCAAAGAUGCAAAGUUAUACUGCUUGCACCUUACCUUCACUAGCAGAUGGGAAGGAUAAACUGGAAGUGACAUCAUUCAAGGCUUCAUCAAUCUUCUUUUGAAUCUACAAAGAAAGGAAAAUACUAUCAACAAAGGCGCUGGACAUAUUAUAAAUAAUUGUUGAAUGCAUGCAAGAUUGAACUCACUAGCUACAUCCAUUCUAUCAAGAGGAAUAGACAGGAACUUUUUCAGCUCUAUGAGCAAAAAGCAUAGCAGAGUUCACAGCCACACAGUUCAACUUCUCCUUCCUACCAACCUCUCCCUCCAAAAACAAGCUGACUGGAACAGUGAACUGGCAUACACUAGUCUCUAAACCACCCUAGAAAUUGCCUGUGGGAAUGGUAGGUGGUUUCUGCUGGGAUAGAGUUGAUUUUCUUCCUAGUAGCUGGUGCAGUGCUGUGUUUUAGCUUUAAUCUGAGAACAAUGCUGAUAACACACCGAUUUUUAGUUGUUGCUAAGUAAUGCUUACUCUGAUCAAGGACUGUUGGGUCUCUCAUGCUCUGCCAGUGAGAAGAGGCACAAGAAGCCGGGAGGGAGCAGAGACAGGACACCACACAUAAUUUAGAAACUUGUGAAAAUAAAAGCAAUAAAGAAACCUCCACUACAGACACAGUUAGGAGAUUUCUUUCUUCCCGCCCCCCCCACCUUACAUUCAGGAGGCCCAGACUUCUUCUCAUAACACUUUGCGAAACCGAGACUCUUCUUCCAGGCAACAUAGGGAUUGGGAUAUUAUCAGCUUUAAAGACUUUUGGACAUUGGAAUGCCUCAAAGUCAAGGCCUCCUGUAAGCAACUGACAGGUUAUCAGGUAUCAGCCUACCAAAGAGCAGGAAGAGUACACAGAUAGGACACACAAGGAGUCCUCUGGCACAGGAGAGCUUAACAGCUCUAGCCCUUGGAAGUUAAGUCUGAACAAAAGAGGGAUCAUAUACAAGGGGCCCAGACCUUUUCUAACAGGCAGACAAAAAUAUAAGCAGAAGAGAACGAUUCAUUAAUUCACCUGAUCAAAGGCUGCUCAAGUCAGAAGGUGAAAGCUGAGGCACUUGAUAAGACAUAAAGGGGGGAAGCUAUUUCCUUCCAGAGGGCUGGGGGAGAAACUUGAGAACCACUUCUGUGUCCACAGCAAAACGAAAAAGUUCCUCUUUGCUAACCUCAUUUGACAAAAUUGCCUACAACAGAUCUGACCCUCUGAAUCAAUGUGUAAAUAUGGCAACACAUCAAGCAGAAAGAAGCACAAUCAAGUAUUAUACCAAUAUUUACCAGGUAAAUAGCUGUGCAUUUCUCAAUCAUUAAAUCAUUAACAUGCUAAAACAUG